rnacentral:rRNA from 1 species
AGUGAACGCUGGCGGUAGGCCUAACACAUGCAAGUCGAACGGCAGCACAGUAAGAGCUUGCUCUUACGGGUGGCGAGUGGCGGACGGGUGAGGAAUACAUCGGAAUCUACUUUUUCGUGGGGGAUAACGUAGGGAAACUUACGCUAAUACCGCAUACGACCUACGGGUGAAAGCAGGGGAUCUUCGGACCUUGCGCGAUUGAAUGAGCCGAUGUCGGAUUAGCUAGUUGGCGGGGUAAAGGCCCACCAAGGCGACGAUCCGUAGCUGGUCUGAGAGGAUGAUGAGCGGCACGGGAACUGAGAGACGGUCCAGACUCCUACGGGAGGCAGCAGUGGGGAAUAUUGGACAAUGGGCGCAAGCCUGAUCCAGCCAUACCGCGUGGGUGAAGAAGGCCUUCGGGUUGUAAAGCCCUUUUGUUGGGAAAGAAAAGCAGCAGGUUAAUACCCCGCUGUUCUGACGGUACCCAAAGAAUAAGCACCGGCUAACUUCGUG